GACGUAGGGUGCGAGCGUUGUCCGGAUUUAUUGGGCGUAAAGAGCUCGUAGGCGGCUCGUCGCGUCGACCGUGAAAACCCGCGGCUUAACUGCGGGCUUGCGGUUGAUACGGGCGGGCUAGAGUUCGGUAGGGGAGACUGGAAUUCCUGGUGUAGCGGUGAAAUGCGCAGAUAUCAGGAGGAACACCGGUGGCGAAGGCGGGUCUCUGGGACGUUACUGACACUGAGGCGCGAAAGCGUGGGGAGCGAACAGG
rnacentral:rRNA from 1 species